GUACAGUUGAAGAGUCGCAGAGUGGGACGAAACAGCUGUCCAGUAC
rnacentral:hammerhead_ribozyme from 1 species